rnacentral:rRNA from 1 species
AGCAGCAGCCCGGUAAUACGAAGGGGGCAAGCGUUGUCCGGAAUUAUUGGGCGUAAAGCGCGCGCAGGCGGUUUUUUAAGUCUGGUGUCUAAGUGCGGGGCUCAACCCCGUGACGCACUGGAAACUGGGAGACUUGAGUGCAGAAGAGGAGAGCGGAAUUCUACGUGUAGCGGUGAAAUGCGUAGAUAUCGGAAGGAACACCUGUGGCGAAAGCGGCUCACUGGACCAUUUCUGACGCUGAUGCACGAAAGCUAGGGGAGCAAACAGGAUUAGAUACCCCUGUAGUCCCUGUCUCUUAUACAC